AGAGAGAGAGAGAGAGAGUAUCAUGUCCUAUCUAGGAUAGUGUUUAUAUAACUAGACUAUGAAAGAUAUUAUCAAUGAAGUAUUUAUUAUAAAAAUAGCUCGUAUAUAGAAAAUUUAUUGAAAAUUAAUUCUAAAGAACAUGGGUCUACAACUGGUGGAUCCUCUUAUUAGAAAAAAAUUGUGAAUCUGCCGAUGGGAUUCAAACCUGAAUCAAUUGAUAGAAUUUGCAGCUGAUUGUCAUCUAUUCUACAUAGUUACAAAGGCUCAAGGUGCACUAAGACACCAAGGGGUCCUGGAGCCUGGGCGUUAGGCUUAGGCGCACGCCUUAAUGAGGUGAGGCGCAAAAAUAAAAAAUCAAAGUCAAAUGAAUGUGAAUAUUCUAUCAAUUUUCAAAUAACAUAAAACUAAAAA
rnacentral:misc_RNA from 1 species